UCCCUGGUAGUAUAUCGGUUAGUACACGCGCCUGUCAUGUCGGGGUUCGCGCGAAAGCGGGGUUCGACUCCCCGCCAGGGAG